CACGUAGGGUGCGAGCGUUGUCCGGAAUUAUUGGGCGUAAAGAGCUCGUAGGCGGUGUGUCGCGUCGGCCGUGAAAACCUGGGGCUUAACUCUGGGCUUGCGGUCGAUACGGGCAUCACUUGAGUUCGGCAGGGGAGACUGGAAUUCCUGGUGUAGCGGUGAAAUGCGCAGAUAUCAGGAGGAACACCGGUGGCGAAGGCGGGUCUCUGGGCCGUAACUGACGCUGAGGAGCGAAAGCGUGGGGAGCGAACAGG
rnacentral:rRNA from 1 species